GACGAACGCUGGCGGCGUGCUUAACACAUGCGAGUCGAACGGAAAGGCGCUGCUUGUGUGUGGUGCUCGAGUGGCGAACGGGUGAGUAACACGGGAGUAACCUUGCCUGUGCGUGGGGAUAACUGCAGGAAACUGGGGCUAAUACCUGAUAGGAGCGCCUGCUGCAUGGGGGUGGUUGGAAAGUUUCGGUUGUGGGGGCUGGAGUCGGGGGUUGUCAGCUUGUUGGUGGGGGAGUGGCUUACGAAGGCUUUGGCGGGUGGCCGGCCUGAGAGGGUGAACGGGCACAUUGGGCCUGCGAGACGGCCCAGAGUCCUACGGGGGGCAGCAGUGGGAAAUAUUGCCCAAUGGGCGGGAGCGUGAUGAAGAAACGCCGCGUGCGGGAUGAAGGCCUUCGGGUUGUAAACCGCUUUCGCCUGUGACGAAGCGUGAGUGACGUUAAUGGCUAAAGAAGCACCGGCUAACUACGUG
rnacentral:rRNA from 1 species